rnacentral:rRNA from 1 species
AACACGUGANCAACCUGCCCUAUACAACGGGAUAACACAGAGAAAUUUGUGCUAAUACGGUAUAAGACCACAGUAUCGCAUGAUACAGGGGUAAAAGAUUUAUCGGUAUAGGAUGGGCUCGCGACCCAUUAGCUAGUUGGUGAGGUAACGGCCCACCAAGGCAACGAUGGGUAGCCGACCUGAGAGGGUGAUCGGCCACACUGGGACUGAGACACGGCCCAGACUCCUACGGGAGGCAGCAGUGGGGAAUAUUGGGCAAUGGAGGCAACUCUUACCCAGCAAUGCCGCGUGAAUGAAGAAGGUCUUCGGAUUGUAAAGUUCUUUAAUUGGGGACGAAAAAAAUGACGGUACCCAAGGAAUAAGCCCCGGCUAACUACGUGCCAGCAGCCGCGGUAAUACGUAGGGGGCAAGCGUUGUUCGGAAUGACUGGGCGUAAAGGGUGUGUAGGCGGUGUAGCAAGUUAGAAGUGAAAUACCUAGAGCUUAACUCAGGUGCUGCUUCUAAAACUGCUAUACUUGAGUGCAGUAGAGGAAAGUGGAAUUCCUAGUGUAGCGGUGGAAUGCGUAGAUAUUAGGAGGAACAUCAGUGGCGAAGGCGACUUUCUGGACUGUAACUGACGCUGAGGCACGAAAGUGUGGGGAGCAAACAGGAUUAGAUACCCUGGUAGUCCACACUGUAAACGAUGGAUACUAGGUGU